AAGUCGUAACAAGGUUUCCGUAGGUGAACCUGCGGAAGGAUCAUUACCAAUUUAAUCCAAAAUACUCAACCCGUGUGCACUGUGACAUUGUUUGUCUUUGGGGUGGCUGAUCUGUAUAUAUUAUAUAUUACAGAACGUUUGCUGCCCCACAUUUGUUCAACACAUUUAUUUUCUGUUGGUAUCUUUUGUCUUUUUAAAAUGGACAACUUUUAACGGUGGAUCUCUUGGCUCGUG
rnacentral:misc_RNA from 1 species